rnacentral:lncRNA from 1 species
GAAUUUUGGCCCAUAAUUUUGGCUUUGAUUGUUGUAGUUGUGACAUCUGACAUGUGGUUUGUUAGGAAAUCUCGUUGUCUUAACAGCGAUUCCAUUAUGCACGUAAUUCACCCAGCCAGCAGAAAAUGGAUAUCUUUUUUAUUUGUUUUCGAGAAGUGAUUUAAUAUUCAAGACCUAGCAAGUUCUGAGCUUUGGGAUGGACUGAUACUGAAAAACUGCAGUACAAUAUGAGCUGAUGGGCUGAGACUGGAAAUCUGCAGUAUCAUGUUGUUGAUGACAGAUUAGCAUGUUGCUGAACUUACAAUCAUGAUGCAGAUUGUAUUUGUGUCGAACCGGUCAUAUCAACGCGCUCAUCGUUGACGGUUUUACGUGGUUGGAGACGGUACCAAACGUGUUGGUGUUGUUAAAGCCGGAUAGACGACCCCUACGAUGAUGAACCACAAAGUCGAUCCCCUAAUUACGCCCGAGCCUAGGACGUCCAGAGAAUGACACAACAACGUUCAAAUUGCUAAUGUCUCCAUCCAUGCACCCAUUUCUUUCCAGACUCGUAAACAAGGAGUCGGCUUCACUAGCAUUGACAGUGGCUAUCUAUGGAUGGACGACCAUGAAGUUAUUCUAACAGCCCUAUGGAAAAUAAGGAUUUAAUUGGUUUCAAACUGGGCUUGCUCAAGGAUUUUAUCCAUAUCGGAAACAUAAAUAACAUGAAUUAUUAGGUUUUCAUGGUAUGCCAUGUUUGGAUUUCACUUAGAAAUCCUACCAGAAGCUUUUCAAGUAUAACACCAAAGAAGGCUUGCACUGAUUAAUGUUUGAAGUAAGUUCCAUAAGCAAAAAUGUUUUGUGCUGAUUCUUUUUUCUUCUCUCUAGGUUAAUAUUCGUAAUAAAUCAAAAAUAAGGUUUCAGAAUGAGGCUGGAGUUUUUAUCAAUGCUGUCGUUUCGAAACACGAUCGGAAAUACCUAUGGAAUGAAAAACAUUCUCGCGUGUUAUGGUAUUAGUCGUAUAUAAAUUGAAGUGCAUAUCUGGGCUCCCUUCUUUUCUGUGGCCCCGUUUCCCCUUGACUCAUAAUAAGCCCGUAGGGGGUCAUGCCCCUACUGUACGGUAUAUAUAAAAAC